rnacentral:piRNA from 1 species
UGAAUGGGCUGUCUACCCUUGCCGUCCUCCU